AGUGAACGCUGGCGGCAGGCCUAACACAUGCAAGUCGAACGGCAGCACAGUAAGAGCUUGCUCUUACGGGUGGCGAGUGGCGGGCGGGUGAGGAAUACAUCGGAAUCUACUUUUUCGUGGGGGAUAACGUAGGGAAACUUACGCUAAUACCGCAUAUGACCUACGGGUGAAAGCAGGGGAUCUUCGGACCUUGCGCGACUGAAUGAGCCGAUGUCGGAUUAGCUAGUUGGCGGGGUAAAGGCCCACCAAGGCGACGAUCCGUAGCUGGUCUGAGAGGAUGAUCGGCCACACUGGAACUGAGACACGGUCCAGACUCCUACGGGAGGCAGCAGUGGGGAAUCUUGGACAAUGGGCGCAAGCCUGAUCCAGCCAUACCGCGUGGGUGAAGAAGGCCUUCGGGUUGUAAAGCCCUUUUGUUGGGAAAGAAGAGCAGCAGGUUAAUACCCCGCUGUUCUGACGGUACCCAAAGAAUAAGCACCGGCUAACCUCGUG
rnacentral:rRNA from 1 species